CCCUUAGAUGUUUGGGGCCGCACGCGCGCUACACUGAAGGAAUCAGCGUGUGUUCCCCCUGCUCUGCAAAGAGUGGGUAACCCGUUGAACCUCCUUCGUGCUAGGGAUUGGGAUAGAUGAUUGCAAUUUUUCAUCUUCAACGAGGAAUGCCUAGUAAACGCAAGUCAUCAGCUUGCAUUGAUUACGUCCCUGCCCUUUGUACACACCGCCCGUCGCUCCUACCGAUUGAAUGAUCCGAUGAAUAUCAUGGAUUGAGGAUGCAAGUAGGUUAGCCUAUCUUCAUCUUCGAGAAGUGAAGUAAAUCUUAUCAUUUAGAGGAAGGAGAAGUCGUAACA
rnacentral:rRNA from 1 species